rnacentral:rRNA from 1 species
UACGUAGGUGGCAAGCGUUGUCCGGAAUUAUUGGGCGUAAAGCGCGCGCAGGCGGCCUUUUAAGUCUGAUGUGAAAGCCCACGGCUCAACCGUGGAAGGUCAUUGGAAACUGAAAGGCUUGAGUACAGAAGAGGAAAGCGGAAUUCCACGUGUAGCGGUGAAAUGCGUAGAGAUGUGGAGGAACACCUGUGGCGAAAGCGGCUCACUGGACCAUUACUGACGCUGAGGCGCGAAAGCUAGGGGAGCAAACAGG